rnacentral:lncRNA from 1 species
AGGAGCGCACCAGGAUCAAUCCUAGCCGUCUAAACCAUCUCUAACAACCUUUAAGAUUCACGUCACAAAACUUGGAAACGGUUAUCGUUCUCCUCAGCUAUAUAAAUGUGAUUCCGUGUCACACUCCAUAUACACUUUCAUUUACCCUAAUUUUCACAUAUAAUACAUUUUUUUCAUAUACUGACUUGAAUGUCGAAGUGUUAACGUGUUUGAUGACACCAUUCUUCUCCGGCAACAAAAUUGGCUAUCCUCCACACCGAAGCAUCGCAAACUAUCGUUACAACAACCACAAUUCAUAGAGGACCGCCACUUCAUAUUUUUUAUCUUCACCGAACUGAUCAAUUUUUUUUGUCAUGCACAAAAGGUUCUUCAACACCACCCAAUCAAAACUUUUUCCUUAUCAUUUGUCACGCUUAAAUUGUUUGGCCCUUUAUUACUCAAAGCAACCACACAAUUGUCUACAAAAAGUGUCAUGUGCUUAGGAGAAACACUUGCUUAGAUACAUAUCUAAAUUUAAAAUUUUUGGACACAUUCAUACAAAUGCUUUUGUUUUUAAAAAGAAAUCAUCCAUACAAAUGCUUUUGUUUUUAAAAAGAAAUAGUUUGAUAAUGUUGAAUGAUGUAUCUAAUUUAUUUAUCUUUUAUUUUUCUUCAUUGUUAUGUAUGUACCUAAAUAAUUUUAUUUGUAUUUGUAUCUACGCAACACUAUCUACGUAUUUAGACUUUGGAGAGAGGUAAGAUGAGUCACUCUUUUCUAGGGAUGUCUCACGACAAGGUUGAUAAUUAGUUUUGAAAAAGGUCUAAGGGACAUGCAUCAUGAGAGUGAAAUAUAUAUAGAUGAUAUGAUGCUUACUAAUAGUAAAAAACACAUAAUUAUGGUGGAUUAUAUAAAGAAAAAAAUUUAGAUAAAAGAAAUUGGUAAUCAUGUUUUUUAUUUUAAGGUUGGUAAUCAUUUUAUUUUAUUUUUGACACAAGGUUGGUAAUCAUGUUAUUCAUGAUUAGUUUUUUCUUCAAUAUUUUAUAAUAGCAU